UACGUAGGGUGCGAGCGUUGUCCGGAAUUAUUGGGCGUAAAGAGCUCGUAGGCGGUCUGUCGCGUCGAUCGUGAAAACUUGGGGCUUAACCCUGAGCUUGCGGUCGAUACGGGCAUGACUGGAGUUCGGCAGGGGAGACUGGAAUUCCUGGUGUAGCGGUGAAAUGCGCAGAUAUCGGGAGGAACACCAGUGGCGAAGGCGGCGAUCUGGGAAGAUACUGACGCUGAGGUGCGAAAGCGUGGGGAGCAAACAGG
rnacentral:rRNA from 1 species